rnacentral:rRNA from 1 species
UACAGAGGUCCCAAGCGUUGUUCGGAUUUACUGGGCGUAAAGGGUGCGUAGGUGGUGAGGUAAGUCGGAUGUGAAAUCUCCGAGCUCAACUCGGAAAUGGCAUUGGAAACUACCUUGCUCGAGGGUUGGAGGGGGGACUGGAAUGCUUGGUGUAGCAGUGAAAUGCGUAGAUAUCAAGCGGAACACCAGUGGCGAAGGCGAGUCCCUGGACAGCUCCUGACACUGAGGCACGAAAGCGAGGGGAGCAAACAGG